UGUGUGUGUGUGUGCAUUUGUUUAAUUUGUAGCAAAGUCUUACAAACAGUUGCAAACAAUGAAUCUUUUGCAACCCAGAAUUUAUUGUUGAACAUAAGAUUUUGGUACAUGUAAGAAGGAAUAUG